CUACAGAUAAUUCUGCAAUGAACCCUUUCAGACUCGUUGCUGUGUGAAUAGUGAUUAUCCUGAGUAGGUACCUAUGUGAAGAGCCUGAGUCCAAGUUCUGUGCACCUUCAACACUUUUGUCCUCCCCAGCGUGACGUUGUUAGUUCUCACUGAACUCCUGCAGCCGAUCUUGACAAGGCGCGCGCUGCUUUCCAGACCCUGACAUUCACCGAGCCCGGAGGAGCGCGGCUGCCCAUCCUGCCCUCGCGGUCAGCGCGGCCCAGAGCCCCGGGCCGUCUCAGCACUCCCGCCCUGCACUCCGGCUUCAGGUUCUGGGACAUAGAAGAAAGUCAAUGUUUUUCUUGAGCUUUAUUACAUGGAAGCAGCGCUGUGCAAGAAAAAUAUACUUCCUGAAGCAUGUCAGCCUAUAUCCAGCAGAAUAAUCCUGAAAGAGUUGUAAGAAUGAAAUGUAACUUCUACUGUAGGAAGUAUGUAGGAAAUAAAAGAUGGGGACAGAUUUUAG
rnacentral:lncRNA from 1 species